rnacentral:rRNA from 1 species
UGGGAAUCUACCUUGAGCUACGGGAUAACAGAGAGAAAUUUCUGCUAAUACCGUAUGUGGCCUUUGGGCGAAAGAUUUAUCGGCUUAAGAUGAGCCCGCGUUGGAUUAGCUGGUUGGUGGGGUAAAGGCCUACCAAGGCGACGAUCCAUAGCUGGUCUGAGAGGAUGAUCAGCCACACUGGGACUGAGACACGGCCCAGACUCCUACGGGAGG